UCUGUGAGAAUUUUGCUAGAAAAAUCUGACAGAGCGAAAUCUGUUAAAAAAUGCUUCAUUUCCGCUAAACAGCUUUGUAGCGAACUUGACCUCCGCCAAAAUAGUUUUGUCAUCGGACUUGUUUACACAAGUUCACAUUUUUCAUUUUUACUUUUAAGAAGAUGCCACAUCACCUAAUGUUGUCGGCUAUUUAGUUGACUUUUUGGCACCGAUUUGAGACGGCUUAUCCGAGAAAAAAACACGAUGCCAGCUCGGUGGUGCAGCACCAGAGUUAAACGGCCAGCGGCCGAAUGCUCCGCGGAAACAUUCCAGAAAGGUUGUCCAGAGAUCUCGCAUCGCCUGUCCCAGGGCCAUCCGCUCGUCAACGAUUGGAGUGAUCAUGGAGUGACCGUCUAAGAAGUGCCACAAAGUGAAAGUGUAGAAUUUAGAAAGUUAGUGUUUGUGUUCCAACUUCCAUUUAUUGUGAUUGCAAAAAUAUUUGUGAGAAUAAAUUCGAUUUUGAAAUUCGU